rnacentral:rRNA from 1 species
AACGAACGCUGGCGGCAUGCCUAACACAUGCAAGUCGAACGAGAUCUUCGGGUCUAGUGGCGCACGGGUGCGUAACGCGUGGGAAUCUGCCCUUUGGUUCGGAAUAACAGUUGGAAACGACUGCUAAUACCGGAUGAUGACGAAAGUCCAAAGAUUUAUCGCCAGAGGAUGAGCCCGCGUAGGAUUAGCUAGUUGGUGUGGUAAAGGCGCACCAAGGCGACGAUCCUUAGCUGGUCUGAGAGGAUGAUCAGCCACACUGGGACUGAGACACGGCCCAGACUCCUACGGGAGGCAGCAGUGGGGAAUAUUGGACAAUGGGCGAAAGCCUGAUCCAGCGAUGCCGCGUGAGUGAUGAAGGCCUUAGGGUUGUAAAGCUCUUUUACCCGGGAUGAUAAUGACAGUACCGGGAGAAUAAGCUCCGGCUAACUCCGUGCCAGCAGCCGCGGUAA